rnacentral:rRNA from 1 species
UACAGAGGGGGCAAGCGUUAUUCGGAAUUAUUGGGCGUAAAGGGCGCGUAGGCGGCUUGGCAAGUGGAUGGUGAAAUCCCUCGGCUUAACCGAGGAACUGCCAUCCAGACUGCUUUGCUUGAGGCCGGGAGAGGUGAGUGGAAUUCCCAGUGUAGCGGUGAAAUGCGUAGAUAUUGGGAAGAACACCAGUGGCGAAGGCGGCUCACUGGAC